UCUCCUUUGACACCUUUCCUUCCACCAUUUUCCAUCUCUCUCUAUAUAGACACAAAGUUGUUUACCCAAAAGAAAUGGAGACAGAUGGACAUGAGCAGCAAGCUAGACAAGCCGCCGCCGCCACCACUUGACAGAUAAGGGAAAAGGGAUCGGCUGCUACUGGAUGCCAGCCAUACAGUAAGUUGAAUGGUUUGGUGUUAUAGAACGGCAUCAGUUAUCAUGGUUUGUAUAACAUUAUUUGUUCUUGUUUUGCCACCAUUUCUGCCACCCUUAUCGCCUCCUCCCUUGAUUUUUCUAUUUAUACCAGUCAUGAUUAUGUCUGCUCUAAUCAUGUUGGCCUUUUGUCCAGCACAUGUCACAAAUAUUACUACCAGCUAAUGCUAUUUCUCAUUAGAUAUAUACUCUGACAAACUUGAGAGUGGUGAAUACCCUCACAGACUGUAAUAUAUUAGCUUUGCGGUGGAGAUAACAUGGCAUUGGAUCUGGAAACCCUUAAGGUAAUAUUAUUUGCUUCUUUUUAAAAAAAAAAAAGAAAAAAAGUUAUGUUGAAUAACUAAGACAUCUAGUGUUUGAAGCAUAUUUUUCUUUGAUUCGUUUGUUUAUACAACUACAGGAAUGAGAGAAAUUUUUCUUCCUUUUUAUUUCUUGUGGCAAAAGUCCUAGUAAUCCACACUUGAUUUUCUUUUUAUCUGAUCAGAAAAUACUAAAACAUUGAUAAAUGGUGACUUAGUCUAACUGCAAGAUGAGAUCACUUUUGAAAAACAGGAUUCAAAUCUCAUUGAUCUAAAAGAAGGCCUAACAAGACAUUCACAUACGAGGGAGAAAUGGCAAUAUUUUGAAACUAUUCAUUUGCUGCUCAAGUUAGCAUUUAUAGGGAUUUCUCCUUGUUGAUGGUGAUUAAAUAAUUGAAUUGUUUCUUGGUCAAAAGAAGAUGAGAUAGAUGUUAUGGUACCCACUAUGUCAUAUUUGAAAGUUGAAUUAGUCGUGGUCAUAGCAAGAUGGUAUGAGUCGCUAGCAAUGGCCUAGGUUGCACCGAAGAAGGGUAAUAUUUUUGUGGCAUAAGCAUUUUGAAACAAAAUGUUUUGAGACUUUUAAAUACGUUUUGAGAAUUUAAGAAAAAAUUGUAUUGUCAUUAUUUUUUAAGUUAAUUUUAUGAUGUAUCUAUAAAUCUGACCUUUUACCUUUGAUAAUAAGUAAGCAAUAAUAAUAGGUAAACUUUUAACUUAUUAAAGAGAUUGUUUUAGGUUAAAGUGAUCUCACUUUAACUUGUUAAUUUAUUUUGAUUUUUGGUAUAUUUAGUUAAUGUAGGUCUCAUUUGAUAUUUCGUUUAAUUAUUUAUUAAAAUCAAAUGGCAUAAAUUAAGGAAUAAUACCGACUUUAUAAAACUAGUGUCAUUAUGAGCUAAUGUUAAUAAUUUGUAUUAAAUUAUCUAGGUUUGGAUUUAUUUUUAUUUAUUUAUAGUUAAUUAGCACAGGAUAAAAUAAAUUUUAGAUUGUAAAUGAGACACAUAGUUCAUAUUGCAAUUCUAGAAAAUCAAAAAAAUAUCAAAAUUAUGAAAUAUAAUUAUAGAAUUUAGAAAAAUUUUAAACAAAAAAAUAAUUAAAAAAUAAUUUUAUAAAUAAAUAAAUAAUAAAAAAAUAGUCCCAAUGGUUUGAAUAUGAUAUUGGAAAGUCUGCUAAUAGUUUAACUAUUCAGUCUUUAGCAUUUAGCAUAGAUAAUAUAAAUAUCAAUUAUAAAAAUAAAAUAUUAAAAUUUAAUGAAAUUGAGAUGACUUUCUAAUUUACAUUAAAAUAACUAAAAUGAUUAGUUUGAUUAUUGAAAAAAAUAAUGUAGUUUAUGUUUAUUUCAUCAAUAGUGAUCGCUUAUUAACUUAUUUUUGAUUAUUUUAUUUAAAAAAUUAAUAUAUCUAAUAAUUAUUGCUCUAAAGCAUUAAGUUGAGAUUAGUGAUUUAAAAAAAAAUAUAUCAAGAUUAAAUUAUUAUAUAUUUAAAAGCCAUUUAAUGACUUAGUAGACAUAGUGUGAGUCACAUCGUAAGCACCAAUGACAUUCAUGUUAAGAAAAAAAUUAAAAUUUAAGAUUAAUUUUUAGUUAUUGAUUUAUCAAAUAAUUAUAUAUAAGAACUUUUGAAUUAUAAAUUUGGAGUAAUAUAAUUGAUAACAGAGUAUCACACAAAAAAUGGACUAGAAACGCAGGAUUGAUUGAGUCCAAGAGGGUGUUUGGUUCAGAAAUUUGACGUAACUAAUAACUAAUUUUUACUAAACAGUUAUAUUAAAAUAUUUGGUAAAAACUUAAAAACUAGCAACUCAUAGUUGAUUUAGUCCCAAUCAGCUGCUGAUUAUAUCACCUAUAUUUUAAGUCUUUUUCUUAUCAGGUGAUACUGGAUUUGAUUUUUUUUAUUUAUGUGGAUGUUAUUAUUCUUAUUAAAACUUCUUAAUAAUAACUUACUUUAAAUUGAUCUCAUAUAAUUAAAUUUUUAUAUUUUAUAAUAAAAUAAUUAUUUAAAAUUUAUUUUUAAUAGUUAAAUAAUUAUAAUAUUUAUAACUAUGGUAUUUGAAAUUAGAGAUUUUUAUCAGUAGAGUUUAAAUUUAAAUUUUUAUUUGUAAUUUUUAAAAUAACUUUUUAUAUAUAUUUUUGAUAAUAAGUACAAUUGAGUUAAAGAUUAAUUAUAAUAUUCUUAAAAUUAUUAUAAGGUAUUUUUAUUAAUAUUUAUUAUGGAACAUAAUAUAAUAAAAUAAAAUAUCUUUAAUGAUAAAUUAUAUCAUUAAUGGUUAUUUAACAUAUAAAUAACUGCUACUAAAAUUUUACCAAACAGUUUAGUUCAUCAGCCCUCAGCUACUAGCUGCAUUGAUCAGCCGAGUCAAACAGGCUUCAAGUCCAAGAAAGACUAAAAGUCUAAAAAACCAAGUCAUGGUCGGACUCUACUAGAGUAGUCCGGUCCGACCUAGAACACUACUGUACGAUCAGGAAGAUUAAUUCUAUUAGGUUUAGGGGACUUCAUACUUACAUAAUCUUACUCCUACUAGGACUAGAAGACUUUCAGAUCCUAUAUAAAGGACUGGAACGUAGCUUAAUAGGUACAUACAACCUUCUAUAACUAAGACUCCAUUCUAAGAUCUUAUUACCUUAACUGACUUAACCAUCAGAGUGAAUGGUCGGAGAAUCCCAGUCAGUGCUUUCUAACCUCUUUUGUAGAUACUCUGAAGCUCAAAUUAGACAAUGCAUGAAUCACAAUAAGCAAUAAAGAGUCAAUAUGAGUAUCGUUCCUACGAGGAGAUUGAUACCAAGUACCAGCGCUAAUUGUAUCUCCACCAUCUAACAAAAUCGAAUAAUUGUAAUUGAAUAAAUAACAAAUAAGAAAAGAGAACUUAAAACUAAUAAUAAUUUCUCUAGAAAAAUAACAAUUAAAACUAGAGCCCGAAUUUAUUUUAUUAGCUAUUGCUCGGAUUACAAGAUCUUUUCACAAUCUAGAUCAUUUAGACUCUCUUUUGAGCUCAUCUAAGAAUACCAAAGUCAAUUACAAAUUAUUUCAUGGUCACAUCAUUUAACUAGAGUUCAUUAAAUUCCUUAGCAAUAUAUUACUACUCGAAGGAUUUGUCUACUUUCAUGAUCGAGGUUCCUAAGUCUUACAAACCUAUGAGCUAAUAAAUCAUGAUACUUUCGUUGUCUCUAAUUUACCCAAAUACAUGUAUUUAAUUAGGCCCAAAUCAAAUACAAGAACAAUUAAAAGCAACUCAUAACAUUGACUAAAAAUUAAUUCAUUGAAAGAAAAUAAAGAUCCAAACAAGUAAUAGACUAACUAUACAAAUCCAAACCCUAAGAAGAGUUUAAACUAUGCAUGAUUGCGGCAAUACACAUAAAUAUCAUUAAAGAAAUCAAAGAAGAACAAGAAAUAGUUAAUUCAAACUCUUGAAUCUUUGCACAAUUAUUCUUGAUCUCUUUGAAUAAGUCUUCAAAAGCUUGUAUAUAUGAUAGUUGUUCUUUAAAAUAGUUAUUUGCCCCUCUCCACAACCCCCCCACCCCCCCCCCCCCCCCCCUUUUAUAGCCAAUACUCAAAGAAAAUCCUAUUUGCCCUAAAUUUUUGAGUUUCACGUAAAAGUAAACUCUCUUUUAUUCGACAUGACUUGACAGACGGCCAUGUCAAAUUCUUCACCUUACGGCACGAUUUAUCACACGUUCAUGUGUGAUUCCAUGCUGUGCUUUCACAAUUUCUUUGAUUCAGACAGAAACAGUCACAGUUUCAAACACGACAGUGUGAUACUCGUGUGAUACUCUACUCAGAAUCCAAAGGUAGACACGACUUCUAGCAUGAUUGUGUGUCAAGUCAUGCUUUUUGAUUCUUCUUCCACCGUGCAACAUGGGCAUAAGCAUAUGGCCAUGUUUAGCCAUAACAUAGCUUUUCAUUAUCGUUUAGGAUUUCAUUCUCAUCUUUCCUAUAAAAAAAGAAAAGCUUAUCAAAAUCAAGUACACAUUUCUAAAUAAAUCAAAGUAAAUAAAAUACUAAAAUAAUGGUAUAACCUAAACUCCUAAUUAAACCUAAAUUCUUUCUAAUUAAUACUAAUUACUUAUUCAAAAUCUAUUAAAAUUCAACUCAAAGACAUGUGUAAAAUUACAUACAAUAAUCCUCUUUGUCCAUACUAGGACAUCAUCUUAUACAACUCACAUUCUUGAUAUAAAUACAAAGCUUUAUUAUCUUAGUAAGGUAAGCUAAGAUUUGUCCAACACCUCCUUCUUCCAUUUCUCACUAAAUAGUCACAUUAAAAUCGAACCAAGCUAUAGCUAACCCAUCAACUAAACUUAUAGAAGAAAUAAAAGCAAGAUUAGAAAAACUGCUCUUAGCUAAUAUACUAUUAACUUUCCUAUCUUAGUUAUUUUUUUCACUAAGAAGCACAAAAUUGGGAAGAUAAGUUUACACAAAUCUUUGAGCUGGUAAAUUGUCAAAAUCUUUCCAAUGCCCUAGCAAUUUCAACUUAAAAUAUUCAUGAUUAGGACUUGGGCCAAUUUAGGUUGGCCUUCUCCAUCUAGGGGUGAGCAAAAUUCUAAAAAAAAACUAAAAAUCGGACCAAACCGAUUCUUAUUCGGUUCGGUUUGAUUAUUUUUUUGUAAGUUCAGUUUAUACGGUUUAGCUUUUUUAAAACUAAAAUUAUAUCGAUUCAGUUCAAUUUUAUACUAAAAAAUAUAAAUUAAUCGAAAUAACCAUUUUUAUUUUUAUUUUUAAUAUGAAAUUUAAUUUUUAUUUUUAAUAUAAUUUAGUUUUUAAAGUAAUUUUAGGUUCAGUUCGGUUUUUUCUUUUCGAUUUUUUUAAUUCGAUUAUUGUGACUAAACAUCUUAUUUGGUUCAGUUUGAUUCAUAUUUAUAUAUAAUUCGGUUAUUUUAGUUCGGUUAUUUCGAUUUAUUUAAAAUUUGGAUUCGAUUCUAUUUAUUCGAUAGAUCUAAUUCGGUUCGAUUUUGAACUAAACCGACCGAGUGCUCACCUCCAUGUCCAUCUAUAAUAUGAACUAUUUUGUUAUAGAAACUCUAAUACCAUAUUAAUGAAUUAUUUCAAGCAAAAAUUUAAGAUUUUAACUAAAACUCUAAAAACAGUUUUAUAUCUCUAAAAACUAUUAGUACUAAUCACCCUAUAUAUGUUAAGGGUUAUUAUUUGGUGUCACAUGACACUAGUGUCAUAGAAAUCUUAUUUUUAAUCAAAGUAAAAAUUGAUAAUCUUUUCUUAAAAACUUAUAAAAUCGGUGGAAUAAAAUAUAAAUAUUGUUAAAAUUUUAUCUAUAUUACCUGUAAUUGGUAAAAGGAGUAAUUUAUUAUCUUAUUAGCAAGUUUUCAACUAACGGUUAUAAAUAAAUCUAACAAAUCUAAUAGCUUAAAAUACAUAUAAUUUCGGUAUCAUGUGAUUCCUGAAGUAAUUUAAUUUAAUCUAUAUUUUUUUCAUAUCUCUAAAUUUCUUGAGUACAAAUUAGGAACCUAAAGAGUAGGACCAAUAUCGAAGGAGAUAGAUUUAGGAGAUAUAUAUUGUUUAGGAGACAAAUACUAAAUCAAAUCUUCUACACUCCCUCUCAAGUUGGUUCAUAGGAAUUUUGCAUGUCCAACCUGUCUAAAGCUCAGUAAAAAAAUUUCCUUGAUACUGCUUUGGUAAGGAUAUCGAUGAGCUGAUCUUUAGAUUGGACAUGAGGGACUUUAAUUAUCUUGCCUUAGUAUCUGUCUAUCUCCACAUAUUUUGUCUGAUCAUAUUAAACUGGAUUAUGAGCUAUAUCACAUGCAGCUUUAUUGUCACAAUAUAGUCUCAUAGGACUAAUUUGCGGAACUUAGAGUUCAUGUAGUAAAUUCCCGAUCUAAAGCAACUCAUAAACACUUUUAGUCAUCCCUCUAUACUCGGCUUCUGCACUAAACUGAGCGACAACACUUUGCUUCUUACUGCUCUAUGUGUGUGAGUGUGUAUAUGUAAAUAUAUGUAUAUGUAUAUGUAUAUGUAUAUGUAUAUGUCUAUAUUUGUGUAUAUAUAUAUAUGUUUGUGUAUAUGUAUAUAUUUAUAUAUUUAUGUAUGUAUAUAUAUGUAUGUAUAUCGAAUCCGAACCUAACCUGAACCCGACACGGGUAGUAAAUUUAAAUUCCAAAUCCGUUUAUCAUUAUCCAAAUAUGUCUCAAAAUCGGAUACCUUGAAAGACACGUCUGACUGCCAUCCCUAAGCAUGAUUUCUUAUUGUACAUAGUAUAUAAAUUUAUUUCUCAUAAAAUAAAAUUAUUCUUAUUAUUAUUUUAAUUGUAUAACGUUAAAUAUUUUACUAUUUUAAAUUUAUUAUAUUUUUAUUAUUUUCUUCUUUAUAUCAAUUUAUAUUUCAUGUUUAAGACAUUCUGUUUCCAUUAGUGUCCAAAACCCAGUAUUUCGACAUUUAUUCAGAAAAACUAACCACGGUUUUGCUCAUCAUAAUAUAUAUAUAUAUAUAUAUAUAUGAUUAUUGAUCAUGUGAAAUUAAAAUAGUUCUUAUAUUUAACCCUUAUUAUAUUAUUAUACGAUAAUGUUUAUUUGUCUUAUCAUUUUAAAUUUAUUAUUUCUAAUCUGUAUAAAUGUAAAACCGACGAUAUAUUUGUCCUAUUUAAUUAAAAAAUGUUUUUGUCAAAUAUGUUCUCUUAUAUAUAUAUAUAUAAUAGACACACUGAUAUUUAUUAGGACGAAGUUUACGGUCUUCAGGUUCUACAAAUUACACUUUUCUUUUGGACAAAACUUACUUCCCUUUCAAUUUUGUAUAAUGAGCAUGAGCAAAAAUACAUCACCGAUCACAAAAUCAAUAGUUGUCAUUUUUUGAGUUAAAUAGUACCACAGAUGGACCUUAUAUCUGGGAAGGCGUUUUAUUUAUUUAUUGACUGCGAAACAUCAAAUUUGUUUUCUUCUUAUAUUUACUUGCUAUCAAAUUUGUUUUCUUCUUAUAUUUACUUGCCAGAGUCUAAAUUUCAAAGUGACCUGAUAGUAAUUACUCAUAAAUAUGGCCUGCCUACCCGGAAAAAAGAAAGGGAUUUGGAGCAGAGUGGCCAGCGAUGUGUUGGCUAAAUUUCAUGCUAGGUUUUGAUAAUAUUAAAAGGUCAUUAAUAACUUUCAUAGCUUUUCUGUGCGUACCUCAAUGAUGUGCACGAACAUGGGAGGGGAAAGGGAUGCCCAAUAAGUCAAUUCUAUCAUUAUUGUUCCUUAUGCAUGCAUGUAAAUUUAUUUCUAGUGUCCUUUUAGCAGCAUCAGUUCCAUAAUUCACUGCAAGGGUUUCUCUUUUUAUUUUUUUCCUCGAAUUUACGAAUUGAUUACACCCACCGAACCACAAAAUCAAAAAUAAACAAGAUUGAUCUUUGUUGGAGAUGUGAAACAUCAAGUAAAUAUAAAGAAGUCGAAUGACAUAUAAAUAGAAAAGAUUGAGAUUUAGUGCAACUCUGCUUAAAUGGUUACUGAUAUAAUACGGUUUAGCACUUACAAAAUUUAUGGAAUUUUUAUAUGAUUUUUAGAUAACAAAAUGGCAAAUCGAGUCAAGCUUUGUUAGAUCUGGGUUUAGUUUAGCAUGAGUGUUUUGGAAACAUAUCUUUUUCGGUUCAGAGAAUCUCUAGUCUGGGAUUUCUCAGAUUUUAGAUUGUAUUUCAAAUUAAUUUAUCGAGCUUUAGUUAAGUUUCCAAAUUAACUUAUUUAAACUUUUUUAUCUCAUAAUUUGUAAAGUAAAAAAUCUAUAAGUUUAACAAACUUACAACCAUAGAUAUUUAUUAAUUAAGUAAAAUAUUAGUGAAUUAAUAAUUAGUAAUUGAUUUGUUGAUUAAUAAAUAAUUUAUUAAAAUUAACUAAUUUAUCGAUAAAUUAAUAAUUAUUAACUGGAAAUGCAAUAAAAUUAUACAUAUGUUUAAUUAUCAAUAUAAAUUUAAUGUAUUUCUAGUUAAUUUUUUAUUGUCAUUUAAUCAAAUAAAAUUAUACAUUUCACAAGAGUUCAUUAUAUAUACUUUCUACUCAACACCUAUUUAAUUAUAUUUUCUCAAAUUCAUAAUAGCAAUCAAAUUAAUUUCCAAUAUAAUAAAUGCAAAGACUAAUUAUAUUUUAACUAAAUUUUUUUGUUUAAUUAUUUUUUAGUAAUUUUUCUUUUUACAUGAUACUUUAUUGUAUUCAAAUUAAUUAUUUUUUCUGAUAAUUCAAAAUUCAAGAUAGCAACCCUUUUGAAGAAUCAUAAACUUGGAGAUAAAAAUGGAAAAAGAAUAAAUUUAAACCAAAAUAAAUUAAGAUUAUUAAUACUAAAGUUAUUGCUAUAGAUAAUGAUAAUUAAUUAAAUGCCACAAAAAAAUUAUAUUAUUUCACUAAAGAAUUAUUUUUCAAGAUAUUUUAAAUUUUGAAUUGGGUUUGUAUCAGUUAUAAAUUUCGGAUAGUUUCAUAUCUUGGGGAUAGAUUAUUCCAUAUUCGAAUUAUUCUUUUUUGUUGUAUAGUAUCAAACUCUAGUUGAUUCAAUCAAUUAGGUGACUUGGAUUUCUAAUCAAUUCAAUCUCAAAUCACUUCAGAUUUAAAUCAUUUUAGGUUCAAUUUUAGUUAUUUUAGAUUUAAAUUUUUUAAAUUUCUAUUAAUAUUCAAAUUUAGAUAGAUCAAAUUUCGGGAGAGUUAAAUUGGAUUUCUGGAUCCCAAUCAAAUUUUUCCAUUUUCAAUUCUAUCAAAAUUGAGAAUGACCUAACAGCGAAACAGAUAGUAAAGCUCAUAUUCGAAGACCUAGAGUUAGGCUAACAAAAAAAAAAAAACUAGGUUACUUAGAGUUAGGCUAACAAAAAAAAAACUUGGUUACUCUGAACUUGGGCCUCAAAUAGACAAGUCAGAAUACAUUUAACGAGUGAUAAUUAGUUCAGACCUAAUUUCAUUUACGGGAGAGUGUCAGAUAAAACAUUGGACUUCAAUAAAAAUUAGUUUAAUACAAGGUAAAUGGAAAAAUUGAAUCUCCGCACAGGCCAAUUGUUUUAUGUAAGAUCAAGAUACGAUUGAACCCUACUUAUAUGAUCGCUAAAACAAGUUAGUCCGACACUUUCAAUAUAUAUAUAUAACUUUUAAGAAAAAUGUCUAAACCGCUUUGCAGAAGAAACAGAUCUUUUUGUUCGUAGCAAUAAGAAAGUUAAAAUUGAUCUUCAAGAAACUCUUAUUGUCUCGGAAGAGAUUGAAAUGAUGAAUAGUGAUGUUGCUCCCCUUACAGAUCUUGGAGAGCCUGAUGGGGUGAAGGAGGUGUUGGGUCAACGUGUCUCGUUUAAGGAGACUCUUAUAGGGAAAAAUCCAUAUCAAUUAGAGAGUGUUCACCUAUAUGAUAAUGAUUCAGACUUGAAAGAUGAUGGUGAUAUGGAUGAUGAUGGAGGGGAGGAAGAUUGUACGGUCAUCAGAAUAUCUAAGAAAGGAAAAAGGAAAUUAAGAAAACCUUAGAGACAAACUCUGAUUGUCAAACUCUUGGGACGUUCUACUGAGUAUAACUUUCUCCUUUCAAAAAUUAAGGAGUUACGGAGACCUAAGGGUUUGAUAGAUCUUAUGGCAAUGGAUAAUGACUUCUACCUCGUCAAAUUUGGGUCCAAAGAUGAUUAUGACUAAUCGGUCCAAAUUAUGUAUAGAUAUUUAAGGGUAUUUUAAAGUUUUAAUGAUAUAUUUCUAUAUAUAAAAUGGUGAAAAUAUAUGUUUUUGCCUCACUUCAGCUUAAUUGUCUAUUUUCAGGAAUAUUAGCAAAAAGAGGAAAAUAUAGAGCUAAAAGAAGCUUAAUGAGACAUGUUCAUAUCAAGGCCCAAGAUUAAGACGCAUGGACUACUAAUUACAAGGCCC
rnacentral:lncRNA from 1 species